GAUGAACGCUGGCGGCGUGCCUAAUACAUGCAAGUCGAGCGAACGGACGAGAAGCUUGCUUCUCUGAUGUUAGCGGCGGACGGGUGAGUAACACGUGGAUAACCUACCUAUAAGACUGGGAUAACUUCGGGAAACCGGAGCUAAUACCGGAUAAUAUUUUGAACCGCACGGUUCAAAAGUGAAAGACGGUCUUGCUGUCACUUAUAGAUGGAUCCGCGCUGCAUUAGCUAGUUGGUAAGGUAACGGCUUACCAAGGCAACGAUGCAUAGCCGACCUGAGAGGGUGAUCGGCCACACUGGAACUGAGACACGGUCCAGACUCCUACGGGAGGCAGCAGUAGGGAAUCUUCCGCAAUGGGCGGAAGCCUGACGGAGCAACGCCGCGUGAGUGAUGAAGGUCUUCGGAUCGUAAAACUCUGUUAUUAGGGAAGAACAUAUGUGUAAGUAACUGUGCACAUCUUGACGGUACCUAAUCAGAAAGCCACGGCUAACUACGUG
rnacentral:rRNA from 1 species